rnacentral:rRNA from 1 species
GAUGAACGCUGGCGGCGUGCCUAACACAUGCAAGUCGAACGGAGCUGUCGGAGCUUGCUUUGACAGCUUAGUGGCGAACGGGUGAGUAACGCGUGAGCAACCUGCCCUUGAGAGGGGGAUAACAUCGGGAAACCGAUGCUAAUACCGCAUAAAAUAUGCAGAUGGCAUCAUUGGCAUAUCAAAGGAGAAAUCCGCUCAAGGAUGGGCUCGCGUCUGAUUAGAUAGUUGGUGAGGUAACGGCCCACCAAGUCGACGAUCAGUAGCCGGACUGAGAGGUUGACCGGCCACAUUGGGACUGAGACACGGCCCAGACUCCUACGGGAGGCAGCAGUGGGGAAUAUUGGGCAAUGGGGGGAACCCUGACCCAGCAACGCCGCGUGAAGGAGAAGGCCUCGGUUGUAACUCUUGUACAGGGAAGAAGGAAGUGACGGUACCCUGAGAACAAGCUCCGGCUACUACGUGCCAGCAGCCGCGGUAAUCAUACUCG